AGAGUUUGAUCAUGGCUCAGAAUCAACGCUGGCGGCGUGCCUCAGACAUGCAAGUCGAACGCGAAAGCGCCCUUCGGGGUGCAAGUAGAGUGGCGCACGGGUGAGUAACACGUAGGUAAUCUACCUUUGGAUGGGGAAUAACAACCGGAAACGGUUGCUAAUACCGCAUAAUGCAGCGGCACCUAAUGGUGACAGUUGUUAAAGCGGGGGAUCGAAAGACCUCGCGUCUAAAGAGGAGCCUGCGGCGGAUUAGCUAGUUGGUAAGGUAAUGGCUUACCAAGGCGAUGAUCCGUAACCGGCCUGAGAGGGCGGUCGGUCACACUGACACUGACAUACGGGUCAGACUCCUACGGGAGGCAGCAGUCGGGAAUUUUGGGCAAUGGGCGAAAGCCUGACCCAGCAACGCCGCGUGAAGGAUGAAAUCCCUCGGGAUGUAAACUUCGCAAGAACGGGAAGAAUAAGUGAGGGUUAAUAUCUCUCAUGAUGACGGUACCGUUUGUAAGCUCCGGCUAACUCCGUGCCAGCAGCCGCGGUAAUACGGGGGGAGCAAGCGUUGUUCGGAUUUACUGGGCGUAAAGGGCGCGUAGGCGGCCACCGCAAGUCGAUUGUGAAAUCUCCGGGCUUAACCCGGAAAGGUCAACCGAUACUGCGGGGCUAGAGUGCAGAAAGGGCAACUGGAAUUCUCGGUGUAGCGGUGAAAUGCGUAGAUAUCGAGAGGAACACCUGCGGCGAAGGCGGGUUGCUGGGCUGACACUGACGCUGAAGCGCGAAAGCUAGGGGAGCGAACGGGAUUAGAUACCCCCGUAGUCC
rnacentral:rRNA from 1 species